AGAGUUUGAUCCUGGCUCAGGAUGAACGCUGGCGGCGUGCUUAACACAUGCAAGUCGAACGAACCUUCGGGUUAGUGGCGGACGGGUGAGUAACGCGUGAGAAUCUGCCCUCAGGAGGGGGAUAACGGCUGGAAACGGCCGCUAAUACCCCAUAUGCCGAGAGGUGAAAUGAAUUUCGCCUGAGGAUGAGCUCGCGUCUGAUUAGCUAGUUGGUGUGGUAAAGGCUCACCAGGGCAUCGAUCAGUAGCUGGUCUGAGAGGAUGAUCAGCCACACUGGGACUGAGACACGGCCCAGACUCCUACGGGAGGCAGCAGUGGGGAAUUUUCCGCAAUGGGCGCAAGCCUGACGGAGCAACGCCGCGUGAGGGAUGAAGGCCUCUGGGCUGUAAACCUCUUUUAUCAAGGAAGAAGAUCUGACGGUACUUGAUGAAUAAGCCACGGCUAAUUCCGUGCCAGCAGCCGCGGUAAUACGGGAGUGGCAAGCGUUAUCCGGAAUUAUUGGGCGUAAAGCGUCCGUAGGCGGUCUUGAAAGUCUGUUGUUAAAGCGUGGAGCUCAACUCCAUUUCAGCAAUGGAAACUAGAAGACUAGAGUGUGGUAGGGGCAGAGGGAAUUCCCGGUGUAGCGGUGAAAUGCGUAGAUAUCGGGAAGAACACCAGUGGCGAAGGCGCUCUGCUGGGCCAUAACUGACGCUCAUGGACGAAAGCCAGGGGAGCGAAAGGGAUUAGAUACCCCUGUAGUCCUGGCCGUAAACGAUGAACACUAGGUGUCGGGGGAAUCGGCCCCCUCGGUGUCGUAGCCAACGCGUUAAGUGUUCCGCCUGGGGAGUACGCACGCAAGUGUGAAACUCAAAGGAAUUGACGGGGGCCCGCACAAGCGGUGGAGUAUGUGGUUUAAUUCGAUGCAACGCGAAGAACCUUACCAGGGUUUGACAUCCUGCGAAUCCCUUGGAAACUUGGGAGUGCCUUCGGGAGCGCAGUGACAGGUGGUGCAUGGCUGUCGUCAGCUCGUGUCGUGAGAUGUUGGGUUAAGUCCCGCAACGAGCGCAACCCACGUCUUUAGUUGCCAGCAUUAAGUUGGGCACUCUAGAGAGACUGCCGGUGAUAAACCGGAGGAAGGUGUGUAUGACGUCAAGUCAUCAUGCCCCUUACAUCCUGGGCUACACACGUACUACAAUGCUACGGACAAAGGGCAGCAAACUCGCGAGAGCUAGCAAAUCCCAUAAACCGUGGCUCAGUUCAGAUCGUAGGCUGCAACUCGCCUACGUGAAGGAGGAAUCGCUAGUAAUCGCAGGUCAGCAUACUGCGGUGAAUACGUUCCCGGGUCUUGUACAUACCGCCCGUCACACCAUGGAAGUUGGCCACGCCCGAAGUCGUUACUCCAACCCGCAAGGGAGGAGGAUGCCGAAGGUGGGGCUGAUGACUGGGGUGAAGUCGUAACAAGGUA
rnacentral:rRNA from 1 species